GACGAACUGUCCUAACGUUGUUCGGAAUCACUGGGCUUAAAGGGCGCGUAGGCGGUCGAUCAAGUCAGGGGUGAAAUCCUACAGCUUAACUGUAGAAGUGCCUUUGAUACUGGUUGUCUUGAGGGAGGUAGGGGUGUGUGGAACUCACAGUGGAGCGGUGAAAUGCGUUGAUAUUGGGAAGAACACCGGUGGCGAAAGCGCCUUGCUGGGUCUGCACUGACACUGAGGGACGAAAGCUAGGGGAGCGAAAGGG
rnacentral:rRNA from 1 species